rnacentral:rRNA from 1 species
AUUGAACGCUGGCGGCAGGCUUAACACAUGCAAGUCGAACGAGUGGCGGACGGGUGAGUCAUGCUUGGGAAUCUAGCUUAGGGAGGGGGAUAACUUCGGGACACUGUAGCUAAUACCGCAUACCAUAGGAUGAGCCCAAGUGGGAUGAGGUAAGUGGUGAGGUAAAGGCUCCCCAAGCCGACGAUCUCUAGCUGGUCUGAGAGGAUGAACCGCCACACUGGGACUGAGACCCGGCCCAGACUCCUUCGGGAGGCAGCAGUGGGGAAUAUUGGGCAAUGGGGGCAAACUGACGCAGCCAUGCCGGGUGAAUGAAGAAGGCCUUAGGGUUGUAAAGCUCUGUUAAUCGGGAGACGGUACCGGAAUAGAAAGCCACGGCUAACUACGUGCCAGCAGCCGCGGUAAUAC